GGAAGUAGAAGUCGUAACAAGGUUUCCGUAGGUGAACCUGCGGAAGGAUCAUUAUUGUAUAACCGAGGUGCGAGGGCUGUCGCUGACCCGAAAGGUCGUGCACGCCCGAGUGCCCUCACAUACAUCCAUCUCACCCCUAUGUGCACCACCGCGUGGGUCCCCCUUUGGCUUGUUCGGAGGGGGGCUUACGUUUUCACACAAACUUUGUAUGCUGUGUAGAAUGUAUUUUUUGUUUUUGCGAUCACGCAAUCAAUACAACUUUCAACAACGGAUCUCUUGGCUCUC
rnacentral:misc_RNA from 1 species